CAAGUACUCCCUCCGUCCGGAAUUACUUGUCAUGAAAAUGGAUGUGUCUAGAACUAAAAUACAUCUAGAUACAUCCAUUUCAAUGACAAGUAUUUUCGGACGGAGGGAGUACAAG
rnacentral:pre_miRNA from 1 species